rnacentral:rRNA from 1 species
GUCUUUUUGAUGUUUAUUUAAAGUCUAGCCUGCUCCCUGAGGUGUUUAAGAGCCGCAGUAUUUUGACUGUGCGAAGGUAGCAUAAUAAUUAGUUUUUUAAUUGGGAACUGGAAUGAAUGGUUGGACGAGAUAACUACUGUCUCUCUCCUAUUUAAUUGAAUUUUAUUUUUGAGUUAAAAAGCUCAAAUUUUUUUAAAAGACGAGAAGACCCUAUAGAGUUUUAUUACUUGAUUUAUAAAAUUUUGGAAUUAAAAUUUUUAAUAUUAAAGGUAAUUUGGUUGGGGUGAUUGGGAAAUUAAAAAAACUUUCUUUUUAUUUUUACAUUGAUUUAUGGAAAAGUGAUCCAUUUUUUGUGAUUAAAAGAUAAAAUUACCUUAGGG